GAUGAACGCUGGCGGUCUGCUUAACACAUGCAAGUCGAACGAACUCUUCGGAGUGAGUGGCGGACGGGUGAGUAACGCGUGAGAAUCUGCCUGUGGGUCGGGGACAACCACUGGAAACGGUGGCUAAUACCGGAUGAGCCGAAAGGUAAAAGAUUUAUUGCCCACAGAUGAGCUCGCGUCUGAUUAGCUAGUUGGUAAGGUAAAAGCGUACCAAGGCGACGAUUAGUAGCUGGUCUGAGAGGAUGAGCAGCCACACUGGGACUGAGACACGGCCCAGACUCCUACGGGAGGCAGCAGUGGGAAUAUUGGACAAUGGGGGCAACCCUGAUCCAGCAUGCCGCGUGGUGAGAGGCCAGGGUUGU
rnacentral:rRNA from 1 species